GCCAGGAAUUUUUCCUUUUCACUAUUAUUCUCAUCUCUUUGCUAUUGAGUUUAUUGAUAAGUUUUUUAUCUUGCCUUAUGAUUUAGGUCUUGCAGUCGCCCGCCAGCCGUGGUCUCAGUUUCAGCUGGACAUUCUAGAUCUGAGUAGGCCACAUCUGGCACCAGGUCACUGGGAAGGCUGCAGGACGCACACCGCCCCUGUGGCAGGCCAUCUCUCCGUGGUGGUGGUCUCUGUAGCAGGUGACGCAGCGGUCCACUGGCUAUUCUCAGAUCACCCAAGUGACUUCUCAGGCGUCCAGCAGGAGUUGGUUCGAGUACUGACUCAGCAUCUUGAAAUGCCCUCGACAAGGACCUAAGUGUUCCCCUUCUCUGAGCUGACCUUCUCGGGGCAUAAAUCAUCCCACCCUUCAUGGUCCCAAGGUGUCAAUGCCAGAAUGAAAAGGGAGAUUUAAUGCUGGCCACACUGUUGAGUGCCUGUAGGAGCCAGGUGGGAGCUGGGUGACAGGAGGGCUUCCAGAUGGAAACAACACCAAGUCCCUGCCCUCUGGGAAUUCAGCAUCCAAAGGGGAGCAGACAAUGUUCAGGUGAGCGCCCCAAACACACUGUGUGACAAAAGCCCUUGGGAAGGUAGGUAUCUAGAGGAUGGUGGACACAGGGUGGGAGCUGCUGAGAAAGGGGUAGAAAAGAAGAUUCCCCUUGUUGAGGGGGCUUGUGGUUGGAGAAGAGCUUGGGAUUCAGAAUCAAGGACUUUUUGUGCAUGAAGGGUUCUGAGCUCACAUUGGAGCUCUUCCUGAAUUGACCAGUGGCACGAAAGAAAGAUCUCAGAGAGUCUCCACCACUGAAGUGCAUCCCUGUGUCCCCAUUGCCUGGGCACUGGGGUGGCACAGGGCAGGGGUUCUGGGCUUUAGGACUCCCAGUCUUAGCUCUUACUCUGCUGCCAGUCUGAUCCUGGACAAACGCUUUUUCCACUCUGAGCCUCAGCCUUCUCUUGAGCCUCUAGCAACUGGCCAAGUGGCAAAACAGGAUUUAUUUUCCUCAUCUUGCAGAAAACAAAAUUGAGUGUCAGGGAAGUGAGGAAGAAAAUGCUUUGAUUUGAGCAUUGCAGUUGCCCUGGGAGGUGGAUUAUCUCACCAUUCUCA